UAUAUAGUGCAGGAACCCUCUCUGUGGAGC
rnacentral:piRNA from 1 species